GGAGSGUKMAAGCGUUAUCCGGAUUCACUGGGUUUAAAGGGUGCGUAGGUGGGAAUGUAAGUCAGUGGUGAAAUCUCCGUGCUUAACAUGGAAACUGCCAUUGAUACUAUGUUUCUUGAAUUUUCUGGAGGUCAGCGGAAUAUGUCAUGUAGCGGUGAAAUGCUUAGAUAUGACAUAGAACACCAAUUGCGAAGGCAGCUGACUACAGGGAUAUUGACACUGAGGCACGAAAGCGUGGGGAUCAAACAGGAUUAGAUACCCUGGUAGUCCACGCCCUAAACGAUGGAUACUCGACAUUUGUGAUAGACAAUAAGUGUCUGAGCGAAAGCAUUAAGUAUCCCACCUGGGAAGUACGACCGCAAGGUUG
rnacentral:rRNA from 1 species